AAAGCGUGCGCAGGCGGUUUUGUAAGUCUGUCGUGAAAGCCCCGGGCUCAACCUGGGAAUUGCGAUGGAGACUGCAAGGCUUGAAUCUGGCAGAGGGGGGUAGAAUUCCACGUGUAGCAGUGAAAUGCGUAGAGAUGUGGAGGAACACCGAUGGCGAAGGCAGCCCCCUGGGUCAAGAUUGACGCUCAUGCACGAAAGCGUGGGGAGCAAACAGGAUUAGAUACCCUUGU
rnacentral:rRNA from 1 species